rnacentral:lncRNA from 1 species
UGUGGAGCGGACUUCUUCUUCCAAGAGAAAGUCCAUUGGAAGGAAGAAGGCUAAAUCUGUGAAGAAGCAGAAGAGAGAGAGCAAGCUAAAGAAGGAUGGUCCAAAGGCGGCAAGGCAAAGGAAAAGUUUUUUCAUUGUCAUGCUGAAGGCCACUGGAGGAGGAACUGUCCUAAAUACCUGGAGAGCCUAAAGACUAAAAAAGAUGACAAACCUUCUGAAGGUAUGCUCGUAAUUGAAUCUAACUUUAUGGCUUCUUCAACUUCUAGUUGGGU